rnacentral:tRNA from 1 species
GGGCUUGUGGUUUAGUGGUAUAAUACUCCCUUAGCAUGGGAGUGGUCCGGGGUUCGGUAAGCUCUACUGUUCCU